CACGGAAUGGCUCUGUUCCAACAAAGCUGGAUACUAGUUGGGCAGCUUCUCUGAGAGAGAUUGGCCAGCAGUGGAAAGUUUCAGUUGGCAUGCGUGGUUUCCCCAUUGGACAAUGGGCCAUUAGCCAAAAAUACCAAAACUGGAGCUACUUUCUUCUUGCAGUACUGUAAUUCUCCCUCUUAAGAUUUUUUCCCUUUUCUUUUUACUUUAAGUUAAAAAAAGGGAUACCAUUCUUCUCCGGGGAAGCCACCGGAAGAGAGGCAAGAAAGUGUGUCUCGGUCCUUCGAAACACGGACCACAGUAGCAUCCUGUUAGGAGGGGAAAUGCUACCCAACUUCGUAAGGGGCCGCCUCCCUGCCCCUUCCCCGGAGGGGGGGGUGGAGGGGCGCCCGCCCGCCGGGGGCGCGGCGCGGCCGCUCCCUCUCGCCGCGAACCUUCUUUGCAGUAUAAUUGUAUCGUCUGAGCAAAACCACAGAAUCGUUAAAACUUUCAACAACGGAUCUCUUGGUUCUGGCAUCGAUGAAGAACGCAGCGAACUGCGAUAAGUAAUGCGAAUUGCAGAAUUCAGCGAGCCAUCGAAUCUUUGAACGCACAUUGCGCCCGCCAGCAUUCUGGCGGGCAUGCCUGUCCGAGCGUCAUUUCCUCCCUCACGCAGCGCGCCUGCGUGGUGUUGGGGCGUUCUGCGGCCAGGCCUGCGCCCAGCGCAGGCCGCCGCAGCCCCCGAAAGCCAGUGGCGGGCCGGCAGCGGGCUCCGAGCGCAGUAAGCAUCACGCCCUCGCUCUGGACGCUCCCGCCUGCGCCCUGUCCCACAGACCGGCAGACGCGAGUCUGCCUCCUUCUCAAGGUGACCUCGGAUCAGGUAGACACGAGAUAC
rnacentral:rRNA from 1 species